rnacentral:lncRNA from 1 species
GUUGGGGUUGAAGUGGUCAUAGAUCAGUUUCUUUUAUCAGUUAAUAAUUCCUAUUAUCUAGGACACGUAGGUAGUGUUGGUAGUUAUCUUUAGAUAGGUACUUAUCAUGUAUACAUGGGUAGUUUUUUUUUCCAGUUUCUUUCUUUGUUGGCUUUUCAAUUCUGCACUGAUGUAAGGCUUAUUUAAGCCAUCUGCUCUAUUAAAUAAUAUGCAAUGGUUUAUAACAAUCCCUAUCCUUAUAAGUUUAUUAUUAUAUAACAUAAAUCCAAGAUUUAAUUAAGGGACUCUUAACAUACGGAACCCAAACACAUGAAAAAAUGAAGAACAUAACUUAUGAUAGUUCUAAUGGGAGAAGCCAAUUUGAGAUAAUUGUAGAUCCAGUGAGUAAGCAGGAAUAGUCUCCCCAUGUGAUGGGGUUUCAUGUCUCACCGCCAUGUGAAUCAUCGGUCCUGUAUAGACCGAUUCAAACCCCGGUUAGGGUCAUGGUUGUGCUGUAGAGUAAACCACAACUUCAUCUUCCACAUCUCCGGCAUAUAUCAUCUUUUCCCAAGAGACUCACAUUCGAUUCACAAAAUAGAAAACAAGGUAAAAAUAAAGAAAAUGGUUACCCGUUUCUAGUGUCGCCUUGCUCUGUUGUGAACAACCCUUGGUUGUGGUCUUCUUUCACCACCGAGAAUUGGGGCUGCCUUGCUCACUGGUCAAAGACCAAUGCAAGUUGUCGCUAGAGAAUAGAAGAAAUGAUAAGACGACCUAGUGGUUUUGUUGUGCGGCAAGGAAGUCAUCGCCGUGUUCCACCGACGAGCAAUGUCCAUCUUCGCCGAAGAUGAGAGGUGAAGAAUUUAAGGAUUUUCAUUCCCUUUUCAAUUUUCUUUCUUCGUUUUUUUAUAUUUUCCACAGGUAUCCUCGCACUAGAGGCAAUCAUGACCGAGCCGGAAACAUCCACAGGUACGUGGGGCUAACUCUCCCAGCGGACAUUUUUUCCAUCCACAACACUCGAACCCGAGACCUUGCUCAAGGAAAAUCAAGCAUGUACCACUUGAACCAAUGUCCGUUGGUAAUUUUCUCUCUUCAUUUAACAUGGUGAACCCC